GCUAGCGGCAGGCUUAACACAUGCAAGUCGAGGGGCAGCAUAAUGGAUAGCAAUAUCUAUGGUGGCGACCGGCGCACGGGUGCGUAACGCGUAUGCAACCUACCUUUAACAGGGGGAUAGCACUGAGAAAUUGGUACUAAUACCCCAUAAUAUCAUAGAAGGCAUCUUUUAUGGUUGAAAAUUCCGAUGGUUAGAGAUGGGCAUGCGUUGUAUUAGCUAGUUGGUGGGGUAACGGCUCACCAAGGCGACGAUACAUAGGGGGACUGAGAGGUUAACCCCCCACACUGGUACUGAGACACGGACCAGACUCCUACGGGAGGCAGCAGUGAGGAAUAUUGGUCAAUGGACGCAAGUCUGAACCAGCCAUGCCGCGUGCAGGAUGACGGCUCUAUGAGUUGUAAACUGCUUUUGUACGAGGGUAAACGCAGAUACGUGUAUCUGUCUGAAAGUAUCGUACGAAUAAGGAUCGGCUAACUCCGUGCCAGCAGCCGCGGUAAUACGGAGGAUUCAAGCGUUAUCCGGAUUUAUUGGGUUUAAAGGGUGCGUAGGCGGUUUGAUAAGUUAGAGGUGAAAUUUCGGGGGCUCAACCCUGAACGUGCCUCUAAUACUGUUGAGCUAGAGAAUAGUUGCGGUAGGCGGAAUGUAUGGUGGUACCGGUGAAAUGCUUAAAGAUCAUACAGAACACCGAUUGCGAAGGCAGCUUAACCCAAACUAUAUCUGACGUUGAGGCACGAAAGCGUGGGGAGCAAACAGGAUUAGAUACCCUGGUAGUCCACGCAGUAAACGAUGAUAACUCGUUGUCGGCGAUACACAGUCGGUGACUAAG
rnacentral:rRNA from 1 species